rnacentral:rRNA from 1 species
UACAGAGGUCCCAAGCGUUGUUCGGAUUCACUGGGCGUAAAGGGUGCGUAGGCGGUCGGGUAAGUCUGAUGUGAAAUCUCCAAGCUCAACUUGGAAAUGGCAUCGGAUACUAUUCGGCUCGAGGAAUGGAGGGGAGACUGGAAUACUUGGUGUAGCAGUGAAAUGCGUAGAUAUCAAGUGGAACACCAGUGGCGAAGGCGAGUCUCUGGACAGUUCCUGACGCUGAGGCACGAAAGCCAGGGGAGCAAACGGG